AUAGUCAGUGGUUAGUGUGGAAACAGAGAGGAAACAGAAAGUGUCACACAGUCAGUGUGUUUUCAUCCGGAGGCCCCUGUGCUGUCCUGGAAGUUGACUGGUGACCACAGGUGGAAAACCAACAGUAUGUUGUCACCCCAACUCAGACACCACCUCCAGGCUUGAGCUCAAGGAGAAAAUGGAAAUAGCCAACAUCGAACCGACGCAGUCAAUACCACUCUCCAGAAAAGGGCUGAGAGGGACGUUCUCCGCCGAAGAGCAAGAAUGAUGGAGGGAGGAGUGGGUGAUAGCCAGAGUAUGUCAGGUUUCAUCUACCCUGUGUGACACACAGCUCUCUGACAGCUCUGCUGCACUCGAUCCAGUCUCAAAAAUCUCUCUCAUGCUCACACACACUUUUUUUCUCUCCCCAUGUCGCCCUCUCUUUCUUUCAUGCACUCACCCUUCUGUCUUCUCCCUCUAUUUCCAGUUCUCACACUCUAUCUUCAUCAGUCUCUCACCCCCUCUGGGCUGCCAUUUUGCAGCAUAUGGCUCUCCCACACAAGUAAUCACACAUGCACUGCCAUAUGCGUUUGCUCAUACACCCUCACAUGCACUGUCUUUCCCUCUCCUCUCCUGUUUAUUUGCUCCUCUUCCUUCUCUGUGUAUCUUUAUUAAAAUAGCACCUAGCCAAGUCAUUCGCAUUUAAAUGAGCUAAUUAUGAAAAAGUAGGAUGGAGAAGAGGGGAUGUGAUUGGUAGGAUGACUUUGACUCUGAAAUUUCCAUCGCUGUCGUUUUAUAUUUCUUCUGACCGAUUGGCUGAAAUCGCUGUCAUUCAGGCAUUCAUAAGCUGUCAGUCACUGUGAAAUGUCAUUUCCCCACACAUGAUUUGAUUUGUCAGCCUCUUCCAAUUUCUCUGCCCAUUUUUGUCUCAAACAAGUGGAGCAUUGAGCUACAGGCCCUGGUACAGUUUGGUCAUCUGACCUUCAGGUGUUCCAUUGUAUGUGAAGCAGGGCAUUGUGUCAGGCCUAAAACAUGCUUAAAAUAACAUCUAACAUCUUGCACAGCGGGGUUUCCUGACAUGUUUCCUCACUGACAAGUUGCAAAAUGUGAAACACAUGUAGUGCAUAUCACAAGGACAGUAAAAAAACCCAUGCUGAAUACAUGUUUUAGGCCUCAGUCAUUUCUGAUUUAAUUAAGGUUCAAAGUGUAGGCAAAGAGUAAUUGUGGUCUUAUUCUCAACAGAAUAGGAUUAUUAAUGUUACAAUGCAUAAAAAUGAGGAUUAACACGGUGAGACCUUGAGGGGUGACAUCUGGAGCUCACGGUACAGUUUAAUAAGGUGCAGUAACCACUGUGAUGUUUCAACAAACAGCAUAUCUUUAUCAAAGAAGACAUGCUAAGGAAUUCAUGCACCCUUGGGGAAGAAAUCAAAUGUGCCUUUAAUGCAGAGCAUUAAAGUCAAGUCAAUUUUUUUUUGCUCAAAAUUACAAACCAAAAAUGUACCUCAAAGGGCUUUACAAUCUGUACAGCAUACAACAUCCUCUAUUCUUAGACCCUCGUUUCUAAGACAGCUGUUCACACCAGUUGAAGUAUACAGUGGCCCGUCAUUAUGUUAAUGCAGAAGAUAUUGUAUAUUUGCACAUAUACAGAUGGCUAAUGUGCAGAGAUAUCCUUACAAUAGAUUAAUAUGGUACUGUUUCUUUACAAAAAUAUCAAAAUAAGAAAAGAAAAGCUAUUUAAUCUUUUUUUGUCGUCUGCAUUUUCACAAAUAUGUUGUAGAAGCUGUGCAUUUCCAUUAACUAGAAUAUAGGGAGUACAACUAUAUAAUUUAAUUCAGGAAUACUAAGAUUUAGCUGUAAAAUGAGAAGACAUUUUCUGAAUAACCUAUAGAAAUAUAAAACAAUCCAUACAAGCUGAUCUAAAAUACGUUUUGUACAUUAGACAGAAACUGCACAGUGUUCACAGUGCAGAGGAGUCACCUGUGUCUCUCCCACACAGACACAUACAGUACAUACAUAAUCAUUAGUUCUCUCUCUGUCUCUAAUCAGUGGAAGCUCUGCCUCGUUCUUUCCUUCUGUAAUUACAUCCCACGUACCGCAUCAAGCGGCAGAUUGAAUCCUCAUUGCUGCGCUAAACAAGUUUCAAGAGGAGAGAUUGAGAGAGAGACGGAGAGAGGGAUCUGACCCUCUUUAAUGAAUUCUGUCUGUCUCUCAGUCCUGUUGUCUCUCUGUCACUGUGUGUGUGUGUGUAUGACAGAAUGGGGUUCUUCUAUGACGGCUUGAUCAAACAAACACACACACACUGACACAUACACUCACGCCUGACGCCAAAUGUGUUUGAUCGCAGUAUUGUUGGUUGUGUGUUUUUAUUACCUUUGACAAAAAUACAGUGUUAAUGUCCUGAAUAAAUGUGAGCAGGUGCAGUUUUUGGAGGUAUUUGUGGCUCAUGAAAUAUGCUGACUAACGAGAUGGUAAUAAGCUCUACACAGGCACUGGCAUUGCCAAUAGAAGAGAAUAGUCCCCAUUCAUAAUCAGUAGUGCUGUGGCCUCGCUUCCAUGUAUACAUAUUGAUCUUCCUGCGCUCCUAAAUGAACAUGUGUGUCUCUUUGUUUUGUUUUUUCUCCUCAGGCUCUGCUCUACAGUGCUCCCUUGCUUGUUUCUCCUCUUCUGCGGGUUCGUGUGUUUAUGUGUGUGAUCGUGGCUAUGGAGAUGGAUGCCAGGGGUGUGUGUGGGCGUGUGUUUAUUUGCAUUUACAUGCAAACUUGUGCGCGCACAUUUUGUUGUGUUUCUUAGUGUUUGUGCCAGGAGACGACAUAUUUCUGUGUGUAUGUGUGCUUCUUUGCAUGAGUGUAUACAGUUCAUCUGUGCGUUACCCGCAAUGAUCAGUGCAACCUUUUUGUUGUGUAUGUGUGUGUGUGUGAGGUGGGGGUCUCAGGCGCUCCUGCGGUGAGAUUGCAUUGACCGCUGUGUUAUUGCUCUUUAAUUAUCAAUUACGGCAGCCCCCCAUCCCGGGCAGAGUGCGGGGGUGGGGGCGUACGCGGAGGUGAUAAUGAAUACAGAGCUGCCAUUAGGACAGUAACCGGGCUCUCCGUCUGGGGCUGGGGAGCCAGCGAGGAGGAGGAGGGGAGCUGGCUGGUGUGCUAAUGAAACAGGCUGCAGCUCAAGACAAAAGAAAAGCCACCAUCCCUCCCUCUCCUUUUCUCUCUUCUCUUCUCUCCAUCCCAUCUUGAUCCCCUCAUCAUCUUUUUUAUCUCUCUCAUGUAUUUUCUUGCUCACUUUGCAGCCCACGUCCGCCACAACCACCCCUAUAGACAUAAUGUACACACACACAUUCAAACACACUCACAAGGGACUGCGUUCUUGCAGACAAACAGUGUCUGUAUUUACCAAGUGGGUCAUCUUUGAAGCUGUCAGCUAAUCAGUUUGAAAAUGUGCCCGUUCUUUCACAGCAUAUCAUUACUCAAAAUAUUUCACAGCUUUUUUUGUUGUGCUGAUCCUUUUAUGGCCAUUUUCUCACCGCAGUGUGUUAAUAUAAUUGGUGCAAAAAUGGGUAAAAAAAAAAUUUAUUUACAUUUGAACUAAAUAUAUAUCCUAUGGAUGAUUUUAGAGUUGUGGUAAAAAACCCUUGAUCUGAGUUUAAUGUGUUAGCAGGCCUCCAUAUUGGUUCUGUGUGUUCGCCCGUUGGUUAUUCCAGGUGUAAUAGGUUGGUGGGCGUCCUGUUAAUUUCUGGGAAAAUUGAAGGUGGCUGUUAAUGAGGCUGUUAGUCAGUCCUAACACCUUCCUGCCACAAUACUCCAGCUUUUUAAUAUCUUAUUUAUAACAAGAGAGGCAGUACUAAAGUUACCUGAAAGAUUAGCCGUGUUUGAAGUUUUACAUCCUCAUAAAACACAUUUCAUAUUUUUAU